GAUGAACGCUGGCGGCGUGCCUAACACAUGCAAGUCGAACGGAAGGACAGGAAGCGCGUGCUCCUACGGUUGGCGACGGGCGGGUGAGUCACGAGUACAUCGCCAUCUACUUUUUCGUGGGUUAAGGCGUCGGGGCAGAAUCACUAAUAGCACAUACUACUAACGGGUGGGGGCAGGAGAGAUUCGGCGUUUGGGUGUGUGUUAGAGCCGGAGCCGCUUUAGCUAGUUGGCGGGGUAAAGGCACACCAUGGCGACGAUGCGUAGCCGACCUGAGAGGGUGAUGAGCCACACUGGAACUGAGACACGGUCCAGACUCCUACGGGAGGCAGCAGUAGGGAAUCUUGCGCAAUGGGCGCAAGCCUGAACCAGCCAUGCCGCGUGGGUGAAGAAGGUCUUCGGGUUGUAAAACCCUGUUGUUGGGGAAGAAAAGAUGCGGAUGUAACGAAGCCUGUCUUGACGGUACCUAAUGAAGAAGCACCGGCUAACUACGUG
rnacentral:rRNA from 1 species